rnacentral:rRNA from 1 species
UCAGGCCUAACACAUGCAAGUCGAACGGCAGCGCGGGGGCAACCCUGGCGGCGAGUGGCGAACGGGUGAGUAACAUAUCGGAACGUGCCCUGGAGUGGGGGAUAACCAGUCGAAAGACUGGCUAAUACCGCAUACGAUCUACGGAUGAAAGUGGGGGAUCGCAAGACCUCAUGCUCGUGGAGCGGCCGAUAUCUGAUCAGCUAGUUGGUGGGGUAAGAGCCUACCAAGGCGACGAUCAGUAGCUGGUCUGAGAGGACGACCAGCCACACUGGGACUGAGACACGGCCCAGACUCCUACGGGAGGCAGCAGUGGGGAAUUUUGGACAAUGGGGGCAACCCUGAUCCAGCAAUGCCGCGUGUGUGAAGAAGGCCUUCGGGUUGUAAAGCACUUUUGUCAGGAACGAAACGGUGGGGGCUAAUAU